GAUGAAGAACGUAGCGAAAUGCGAUAAGUAAUGUGAAUUGCAGAAUUCAGUGAAUCAUCGAAUCUUUGAACGCACCUUGCACCCUUUGGCAUUCCGAAGGGUAUGCUCGUUUGAGUGUCAUUGUACUCUCACACUUCCGAUCUUUUGAUUGGGAGCGGUGGACUUGGGUGUUGCUGCUUUACUGUGGCUCACCUCAAAUGGAGUAGUGCAACUCUUGGUUGGACAUAGUACGGCGUGAUAAGUGUCUUCGCCGGCACCUCAUAGAGGGUGGCUGAUCAGGAGCUCUGUGCUUCAAACCGUCUUCGGACAACCUCUGACAACUUGACCUCAAAUCGAGUAGGACCACCCACUGAACUUAAGCAUAUCAAUAAGCGGAGGA
rnacentral:misc_RNA from 1 species